UGGACCUAUCAGUGAUUGUGUGCUUGUUUAUUCAGGAAGCGAGUGGCGCUGUGGUCUAAACCACUGAAGCUUUUGGACUUCCCAAUAAGAAGGUUGGUAGUUCGAAUCCUUGCAACGGGGUGAGCUCCUGUUGCUCUGUCCCAGCUCCUGCCAACCUAGCAGCUCAAAAGCACACCAGUGCAAAUAGAUAAAUAGGUACCGCUGCGGCGGGAAGGUAAACGGCCUUUCCGUGUGCUCUGGUUUCCAUCUGAAGUGGUUUAGUCAUGCUGGCCACAUAACCCGAAAAGCUGUCUGUGGACAAACGCCGGCUCCCUAGGCCUGAAAGUGAGAUGAGCGCCACAUCCCAUACUUUCCUUUGACUGGACUUAACUGUCCAGGGAUCCUUUACCUUUGCCUUACCUGUAGCCAAAUAACAUCUGGUAGGGAUAUGGGUUGAUCACCAUGAAGAGUGGACAGGGAGUAUUGAGACAACAUGUCCUAUGCAUUUGGGUCCCUUCCCUUGUCCCAAAUCAACUUUUCCAGUAAGGAUUGUGCUUUCAUUCAGUACAGUGGAUGCUUUCAUCUUCACCAAUACUAUGCCUCAUCGGUGGGGAAGCACCUCUCCCCAAGAAAUAGUCGUCAUCUUUUGCUGCCAUUUUUGGAUUCUGUUUUAACUAAUCGCUCUUCCACCAUCUUGGAAUCUACUGAGUGGGUGGAAUCCAUUAUUGUCUCAUCUCCCUGCAUUGUCUGGGCAGCUUCACUUAUGCCCCCGCAAGCCCUCAUUUUGGGUUUUUAAAUUGUGAUGGCAUCAUUAAAAACUCCUGAACCGUGUAGGGGGAUCAUUUCAUGCGAAACGGUAGCGACGUAGAACGGGUUUCAUGGCAAGGGGACAGUCUAGCCUGUAGACUGAAUGGGGUGACUGUGCCCCUGAAGGACCAGGUGCGCAGCCUGGGAGUCAUUCUGGACUCACAGCUGUCCAUGGAGGCACAGGUCAAUUCUGUGUCCAGGGCAGCUGUCUCCCAGCUCCAUCUGGUAUGCAGGCUGAGACCCUACCUGCCCGCGGACUGAUCGCCAGAGUGGUGCAUGCUCUAGUUAUCUCCCGCUUGGACUACUGCAAUGCACUCUAUGUGGAGCUACCUUUGAAGGUGACCCGGAAACUACAACUAAUCCAGAAUGCGACAGCUAGACUGGUGGCUUGGAGCAGCUGCCAAGACCACAUAACACUGGUCUUGAAAGACCUACACUGGCUCCCAGUACGUUUCCGAGCACAAUUCAAAGUGUUGGUGCUGACCUUUAAAGCCCCAAACGGCCUUGGUCCAGUAUACCUGAAGGAGCGUCUCUACCCCCAUCAUUCUGCCCAGACACUGAGGUCCAGUGCCGAGGGCCUUCUGGUGGUUCCCUCGCUGCGAGAAGCCAAGUUACAGGGAACCAGGCAGAGGGCCUUCUCGGAAGUGGCACCCGACCUGUGGAAUGCCCUCCCACCAGAUGUCAAAGAGAACAACAACUACCAGACUUUUAGAAGACAUCUGAAGGCAGCCCUGUUUAGGGAAGCUUUGUUUAAUAGAAAUUUUUGAUGUUCUGUAGGAAGCCGUCCAGAGUGGCUAGAUGAUGAUGAUGAUGACGAUGAUUAACUGCCAUGUUUGAAUUGGACUACCCCGAACUCUGCAUGGUGAAUAAUCACUACUGAAGCAUGUCACACUCCCUAGCACUCAAAGCAUUGUUCCUCAAAAUUGCCCUCUCUUUUUAUUUUGCAGAUCCACGUAUUUGUGUACUCACAAUUUCAUUGGUGAAUCCUUAAAAAAAGAGAUGUAAACUAAGGCCUCAGCUAAUUUAUGCUCAUCUCUAAAACAUCCUAAGAACUCUGGGAUGGUUUCACCCUGCUGGAGAGUGCACAAAUAGCAUUCACAGAAAUACUGGAGUCUUUGCCAGCUAUGCCCUAGUGCCCACAGGUGAGUAUAAAUGCGUGGCAUUUCAUAUUUAUGUAUAACAGGACUAUGUAGUUAGCUGAGAUAUUCUAGUCUCUGACCUUUCAAUGCACAUUCUAUCCCCACCCCUCUCUGUCUGUCUGUCUGUCUGUCUAUCUGUCUGUCUGUCUCUCUGUCUAACUACAAACAUACAUACCACCUCGAGCUCUUUGGAGGGAUAUAAAAGCAAUGAUAAGUAAAUAAAUGCAUAAAAUGGAAUAGAAUAAACUUUAAGAAUCCAUGGACUGAGC
rnacentral:lncRNA from 1 species